ACGAACGCUGGCGGCGCGCCUAACACAUGCAAGUCGAACGAGCGAGAGAGAGCUUGCUUUCUCGAGCGAGUGGCGAACGGGUGAGUAACGCGUGAGGAACCUGCCUCAAAGAGGGGGACAACAGUUGGAAACGACUGCUAAUACCGCAUAAGCCCACGGCUCGGCAUCGAGCAGAGGGAAAAGGAGCAAUCCGCUUUGAGAUGGCCUCGCGUCCGAUUAGCUAGUUGGUGAGGUAACGGCCCACCAAGGCGACGAUCGGUAGCCGGACUGAGAGGUUGAACGGCCACAUUGGGACUGAGACACGGCCCAGACUCCUACGGGAGGCAGCAGUGGGGAAUAUUGCACAAUGGGGGAAACCCUGAUGCAGCGACGCCGCGUGGAGGAAGAAGGUCUUCGGAUUGUAAACUCCUGUUGUUGGGGAAGAUAAUGACGGUACCCAACAAGGAAGUGACGGCUAACUACGUGCCAGCCGCCGCCGUAAAAC
rnacentral:rRNA from 1 species